UGGGCUGUAAUUCAGUGGCAGAACACAUGCUUUCCAUGAAUAUGAUCCUAGGUUUAAUUCCCAGCACCUUGA